AAUUAAACUACAUAAAUAAUUAUGAAAUUUCAAUUAAUUACAUACACGUUAUUUAUACCAGUUAAAAGAAAAUUAGCACGAUUUAUUUAUAUGAUUUACUGGAAAAUCAGAAAACUCAAAGUUAAGUUUUUUCGAAAUACCAUUGAUUACUUAUCAGUUCGUAGUACUUUUGGGCGGCUAAUCCUUAAAACCCGUCGAGAAAAUUACUUAAAAAUCGCUUCACGAACCGGCAACCGUUAAGUCGACUUCCGAUAAUUUACCAUGCGGUUUUACAGGCGCCCUCGGCAUUCGGUAAAACAUUAUUUGAGAACGCACGUUUAUAAACACUAUUCGUGGAGGAAUAUUAUUAUAUUGUUAUUAUUUGUGUGUGUGUGUGAAGUAUCUAUACUCUAUACCCGCGUUCUAAACGCAUUUUAAAACGAUAACAGCGUUAUCUGUAUUGUUAUACGGCGCACGCGACGUACUUAAAGAGAACACAAAAAAAAAAAAAUAAAAAAAAUAUUCCUUUACAAGUCUGCGCGGAGGGAGGGAAAACACAAUAUGA